AAUGCCCACUGGUGCGCGAGAUGAGUAUUCUAAGGCGCUUGAGAGAACUCAGGAGAAGGAACUCGGCAAAUUGACACCGUAACUUCGGAAGAAGGUGUGCCCUAUUAGUGUGAAGUGAACAACGGAGCAUGAAUGGGUUGCAAAAAAUCGGUGGCUGCGACUGUUUAUUAAAAACACAGCACUCUGCAAACACGAAAGUGGACGUAUAGGGUGUGACGCCUGCCCGGUGCUGGAAGAUUAAAUGAUGGGGUGCAAGCUCUUGAUUGAAGUCCCAGUAAACGGCGGCCGUAACUAUAACGGUCCUAAGGUAGCGAAAUUCCUUGUCGGGUAAGUUCCGACCUGCACGAAUGGCGUAACGAUGGCCACACUGUCUCCUCCUGAGACUCAGCGAAGUUGAAAUGUUUGUGAUGAUGCAAUCUCCCCGCGGAAAGACGGAAAGACCCCAUGAACCUUUACUGUAGCUUUGUAUUGGACUUUGAACAGAUCUGUGUAGGAUAGGUGGGAGGCUUUGAAGCAGGGUCGCUAGAUCUUGUGGAGCCAACGUUGAAAUACCACCCUGGUGUGUUUGAGGUUCUAACCUAGGUCCAUUAUCUGGAUCGGGGACAGUGCAUGGUAGGCAGUUUGACUGGGGCGGUCUCCUCCCAAAGCGUAACGGAGGAGUUCGAAGGUACGCUAGUUACGGUCGGACAUCGUGACGAUAGUGCAAUGGCAUAAGCGUGCUUAACUGCGAGACUGACAAGUCGAGCAGAUGCGAAAGCAGGACAUAGUGAUCCGGUGGUUCUGUAUGGAAGGGCCAUCGCUCAACGGAUAAAAGGUACUCUGGGGAUAACAGGCUGAUACCGCCCAAGAGUUCAUAUCGACGGCGGUGUUUGGCACCUCGAUGUCGGCUCAUCUCAUCCUGGGGCUGUAGCCGGUCCCAAGGGUAUGGCUGUUCGCCAUUUAAAGAGGUACGUGAGCUGGGUUUAAAACGUCGUGAGACAGUUUGGUCCCUAUCUUCCGUGGGCGCUGCAGAUUUGAGGAAGCCUGCUCCUAGUACGAGAGGACCGGAGUGGACACACCUCUGGUGUAUCGGUUGUCACGCCAGUGGCAUUGCCGAGUAGCUAAGUGUGGAAGAGAUAACCGCUGAAAGCAUCUAAGCGGGAAACUCGUUUCAAGAUGAGAUCUGCCGGGGCCUUGAGCCCCCUGAAGAGUCGUUCAAGACCAGGACGUUGAUAGGUCAGGUGUGGAAGCGCAGUAAUGCGUUAAGCUAACUGAUACUAAUUGCUCGUGCGGCUUGACCA
rnacentral:rRNA from 1 species